UACGGGGGGGGCAAGCGUUGUUCGGAAUUACUGGGCGUAAAGGGCUCGUAGGCGGCCAACUAAGUCAGACGUGAAAUCCCUCGGCUUAACCGGGGAACUGCGUCUGAUACUGGAUGGCUCGAGGUUGGGAGAGGGAUGCGGAAUUCCAGGUGUAGCGGUGAAAUGCGUAGAUAUCUGGAGGAACACCAGAAGCGAAGGCGGCCAACUGGCCCGAUACUGACGCUGAGGCGCGAAAGCGUGGGGAGCAAACAGG
rnacentral:rRNA from 1 species